AAUGAACGCUGGUGGCGUGCCUAAUACAUGCAAGUCGAGCGAAUGGAUUAAGAGCUUGCUCUUAUGAAGUUAGCGGCGGACGGGUGAGUAACACGUGGGUAACCUGCCCAUAAGACUGGGAUAACUCCGGGAAACCGGGGCUAAUACCGGAUAACAUUUUGAACCGCAUGGUUCGAAAUUGAAAGGCGGCUUCGGCUGUCACUUAUGGAUGGACCCGCGUCGCAUUAGCUAGUUGGGGAGGUAACGGCUCACCAAGGCAACGCUGCGUAGCCGACCGGAGAGGGGGAGCGGCCACACUGGGACUGAGACACGGCCCAGACGCCUACGGGGGGCAGAAGUAGGGAAUCUUCCGCAAUGGACGAAAGUCUGGCGGAGCAACGCCGGGUGAGUGAUGAAGGCUUUCGGGUCGUAAAACUCUGUUGUUAGGGAAGAACAAGUGCUAGUUAAAUAAGCUGGCACCUUGACGGUACCUAACCAGAAAGCCACGGCUAACUACGUGCCAGCAGCCGCCGUAA
rnacentral:rRNA from 1 species